rnacentral:rRNA from 1 species
GACGAACGCUGGCGGCGUGCCUAAUACAUGCAAGUAGAACGCUGAAGAGAGGAGCUUGCUCUUCUUGGAUGAGUUGCGAACGGGUGAGUAACGCGUAGGUAACCUGCCUGGUAGCGGGGGAUAACUAUUGGAAACGAUAGCUAAUACCGCAUGAUAUUAAUUAUCGCAUGAUAAUUAAUUGAAAGAUGCAAUUGCAUCACUGCCAGAUGGACCUGCGUUGUAUUAGCUAGUUGGUGAGGUAACGGCUCACCAAGGCGACGAUACAUAGCCGACCUGAGAGGGUGAUCGGCCACACUGGGACUGAGACACGGCCCAGACUCCUACGGGAGGCAGCAGUAGGGAAUCUUCGGCAAUGGGGGGAACCCUGACCGAGCAACGCCGCGUGAGUGAAGAAGGUUUUCGGAUCGUAAAGCUCUGUUGUAAGAGAAGAACGGGUGUGAGAGUGGAA